rnacentral:rRNA from 1 species
AUACGGAGGGUGCAAGCGUUAAUCGGAAUUACUGGGCGUAAAGCGCACGCAGGCGGUCAAUUAAGUCAGAUGUGAAAGCCCCGAGCUUAACUUGGGAAUUGCAUCUGAAACUGGUUGGCUAGAGUCUUGUAGAGGGGGGUAGAAUUCCACGUGUAGCGGUGAAAUGCGUAGAGAUGUGGAGGAAUACCGGUGGCGAAGGCGGCCCCCUGGACAAAGACUGACGCUCAGACACGAAAGCGUGGGGAGC